rnacentral:rRNA from 1 species
UACGGAGGGUGUUAGCGUUGUUCGGAAUUACUGGGCGUAAAGCGCGCGUAGGCGGGCUGUUAAGUCGGGGGUGAAAUCCCGGGGCUCAACCCCGGAACUGCCUUCGAUACUGGCAGCCUUGAGGUCGAGAGAGGUGAGUGGAACUCCGAGUGUAGAGGUGAAAUUCGUAGAUAUUCGGAAGAACACCAGUGGCGAAGGCGGCUCACUGGCUCGAUACUGACGCUGAGGUGCGAAAGUGUGGGGAGCAAACAGG